GAUUAACGCUGGCGGCGUGCAUAACACAUGCAAGUCGAACGAUGAAACUCAUUAGAUUUCUUCGGAAUGAAAAUGAAUGGAUUAGUGGCGAACGGGUGAGUAACGCGUGAGUAACCUGCCUUACACAAGGGGAUAGCCUCUGGAAACGGAGAAUAAUACCCUAUGAAACCAGACAAUCGCAUGAUAAUCUGGUCAAAAUGUUUAGUGGUGUAAGAUGGACUUGCGUCUGAUUAGCUAGUUGGUGAGAUAAAAGCUCACCAAGGCAACGAUCAGUAGCCGGCUUGAGAGAGUGUACGGCCACAUUGGGACUGAGACACGGCCCAGACUCCUACGGGAGGCAGCAGUGGGGAAUUUUGCACAAUGGGGGAAACCCUGAUGCAGCGACGCCGCGUGAUUUAGAAGGCCUUCGGGUUGUAAAAAUCUUUUGUAUAGGAAGAAAAUGGCAGUACUAUACGAAUAAGGUCCGGCUAAUUACGUG
rnacentral:rRNA from 1 species